UACGUAGGGUGCAAGCGUUGUCCGGAAUUAUUGGGCGUAAAGAGCUCGUAGGCGGUUCGUCGCGUCGGCUGUGAAAACCUGAGGCUCAACUCCGGAUCUGCGGUGGGUACGGGCAGACUAGAGUGAUGUAGGGGAGACUGGAAUUCCUGGGUGUAGCGGUGAAAUGCGCAGAGUAUCAGGAGGAACACCGAUGGCGAAGGCAGGUCUCUGGGCAUUAACUGACGCUGAGGAGCGAAAGCAUGGGGAGCGAACAGG
rnacentral:rRNA from 1 species